CAUGCAAGUCGAACGGUAACUUUUGGUGCUUGCACCGAAAGACGAGUGGCGAACGGGUGCGUAACGCGUAUGCAAUCUGCCUUUUACUAGGGUAUAGCCCAGAGAAAUUUGGAUUAAUCCCCUAUAAUAUCAUUUAAUCGCAUGAUUUUAUGAUUAAAGCUUCGGCGGUAAAAGAUGAGCAUGCGUCCUAUUAGUUAGUAGGUGAGGUAACGGCUCACCUAGACUCCGAUAGGUAGGGGUCCUGAGAGGGAGAUCCCCCACACUGGUACUGAGACACGGACCAGACUCCUACGGGAGGCAGCAGUGAGGAAUAUUGGACAAUGGACGAAAGUCUGAUCCAGCUAUGCCGCGUGCAGGAUGACGGCCCUAUGGGUUGUAAACUGCUUUUAUACAGGAAGAAAAGUUCCGACGUGUCGGAACUUGACGGUACUGUAAGAAUAAGGAUCGGCUAACUCCGUGCCAGCAGCCGCGGUAAUACGGAGGAUCCAAGCGUUAUCCGGAAUCAUUGGGUUUAAAGGGUCCGUAGGCGGUUUUUUAAGUCAGAGGUGAAAUCCUGCAGCUCAACUGUAGAAUUGCCUUUGAUACUGAAAGACUUGAGUU
rnacentral:rRNA from 1 species